UGUUCAAGUAGAAGCUGUGCUACACCUUGCAAACUGCAAAGCAGCAUAAGGCACCUGGAGCUUCUAGAUUCAGGUCUAACUGACAGAGACUGCCAUCUCAGAGGACAGUUCAUGGCAUGUAUAUUUGUUCCCUGCUCUGAGUCACCUUUUAGGAAACCAACUGCUCUCCAUUAACUGCACUGGAAGUCUAAAAGGAGAACCUUCUACAGCCAAAUCAUGUGAAUAUUCUCCUCCUGUCAAAAGGAUAUCAGUUCUACAUGAGAGAAAACGCUGCCUCUGCUGACCUCCGAAGUAUUCCUCUCUGGACACACAGAGCAUUUUGCCUUCCCCAGACCUGCUAACACGAAGUGGCUGCUCUGAUAGGACCAGCUCUGUCAUGGUAGCAGGAGACUUGAAAAACUGAGGUUGGAAGCAACAAAUGGGAUUCUACUGAUAAUCCAUGAGGACAUGCAAGGCCCCACAAUGUCACGCCUCUUCCCAUGCUAUCAGUACAUCUUACAGACUGAAUAAGACUCAUUCUCUUUCCUUCUGCACUUGAAACUGAACGCAAGACUCCACUGUCACCCACCUCAUUAAUACCAGCCCCAGACGAGAUUCCUGAGAAUGCCUGGAAAACCUAGCGUUCCUCUCUUGACAAGAAGUCAGUAAGUGUGUUUUUAAAAUUGAUUUGCUCUCAAACAUUUUAUUUCUUGCUUAGAUUUCUUUUGUAGAUAGUAACGUAAGUUGCCUAAUAAUGUGUUCCACUAGCAUGCAUCAGAAUUCUCUCAACUGAUCUGUGUCUGAAAGGUAUUUCAGUGCCCUUUGGGUCUUCUCUCAACCUUCAAAAGUACAGAGAUAACCAAAGAUGAAUCCUAAAGUCAGCUCCCUGUAUUUGUACGUUUAAGCAAGAUUACGAUGUUAGAACAUAUUUAACUUGUGUUCUAACUACUAUUUUUCUUGUCGUGACCUGCACUCCAACUCCUUUAUUUUGGGAUGAAAUUCUUUAAGCAUGCUCACAGUUAGCUUUCAAAGAAAAAUAAAGCAGAAGUUGUUAAUGUCUCUGUACAUCAUGUGCUGGUUUUGCCCACUAAUGAACCUACACCUUCCUCAUCUCUCUAAUGUGUUUGCAGAACCUCUCCUUAUUGCCAUAAUAGUUGUAGCUUGUUUCACUAGAUUCCUCUUACCCCAACUGUUCUGUAAUCCUUUCUGUCAGCUUGCUUCCCCAUAAGACCUUACCUGCUGUCCCCAGAGUUUAUUGGGGUCUGUAUGUCUUUUAGAUAUGGCUGUUCCGCUGUUCUUGCCUUUUUUUUUUUUUUUUUUUAAAAACGCACAUAUGUCAACUUUUCUUACCAUUUUCAACCCUUCUCAACUCACAUCUCAAUAUAAACAGUAAAGUUUACUCUCUACUAUUCAAUAUAUUCCUAUCAUUUUCAGCUAUGGAUAGGGCUACAUCUGCAGGCACGGUAUUAUCUCAUUAAAACAAGCCCUUUGUGUGAACAAAUGAACAGUGAAAACAAACAACUGUCAAGAAUGGCAGAUCACGUUGUCUGUGUGGAAAUAAACACGAGGCAGAAAAGCAGAUCAGGAGAGAAACCAAUCCCCUUUGGACCUGGUUUGCAGAAAGGCACCUGCAGUGGAGUAUUUUGGGGCAUGGUUUCUCAUGAAGAGGGCACGUCUCAAUCUGGAAGCCGGACUUGUUACUCAAGCUCAGAACUCUGUCAAAAAGGUAUUAACCCUGGCUGCUUUAGAGAGACCAACAUUAGCUGUAAGUGAUGCCUAUUGGAUGCCAACUUUAGAAUGAAAUAGCUGUAGAUAAAAAAGAAUUAUGAGCUCAUGAUUAACAUAAGCUAAAAUGAGUGAUCACCUAAAUUGUCUUGUUCUCACUUCAGAAGUAGAGAGGCACUUACUUUGGAAAAGCCUAAGCAAAGCAAAGCAAAGCUGCUGUAAUGUAGAACUUAAAGUUCAGGCAGGGGGACAGGGGACAACAACGUAGACCAACUCACAUGCUUGAGCAGGGAAGAUUUCUGGGACUGCAAUUUAGCUCACAUUAGUGGAUUGGAGCAGAGAACAAAAAUCAGCUUGGUUAGUUACCAAAUAGAAAGGUUAGCUGCCAGCACAGGAAAAUGGACAUCACAAAUUAGGAUUAGGCAGCAUCAGGAGUAAGAUGUUAAGUUUUGUGAAUAGCUACUUCAUAACACCACAUUAAAGACGUUACACACCUUAGAUGUCCUAGAUUAAAAGGAUAUUCUUUAAUCUAUAUCAUUUGCCUCUUUUGCUGGAAGAAAAUCCAGCCUUUACCCAAAUACACCUUGCAGUGCUGUCAGUCAUUAUUACAGGACUACCCUAA